CCACUCCGGCAAAACCCCAAUGCAGUUGGUUUCAAGCAGAACAAGAGAGAAUGAUGAUCAAGAAUCUCUAGAAACUCGAAACAAUUGUCUGAAGCAGAUUCUAAUGUCGAUUUCAAGCAACCCCAGUUAGGGUUUUUGAAAAAGCCUGAUGAUCUUCACAAGAAUCAUCAUGUAUAUUCAAAUACCUGUUCACUUUCUUAACACAACGUCAACAUUGUGUGCAAGUUAAAACGGAAAGACUACGAACCGACAAGACAAAACUCCUUCGAAGCCGAGCAAGGCGUAACUGGGACUCCAGGGAAUUGAAUGUGAUUACAGGAAAUUCACGUAGGAGUAUAAGUGGGCGGUGUCAUUACGGUGAUUGUCCGUAGGAGUAUCGUCUUAAAAUAACAAACAUAAAUCAAAGCUUUUCCUGGAUUUUGGUAUUGGUAUGAAGAUUUUGUCGAGCCUCGUUAUGAAGAUGAGUGGAUUGUUGACUUGACAUGUUAUGAGGUGUGACUUAUUUUGAAUCCAGUUAGUGUAUGGUUAUUAGUUGGAAUUAAGUUUUGCUUGAUGUAGACGGUUUUCCUUGCAAUUUUUUACUCUUGGAGGUUUUGGGUUUCAACUUCAAGUUUUGCUUGUAGCCAAUUUCAUGUGUUGUGUUUUAUGAUUUUGUAAGAU